rnacentral:ncRNA from 2 species
AAUAGCCACUAGGGGAGCCUCACCAUGCGAGGCUGAGAGAAGGACGCUUAGUUCCUUGACCCUUGGAACCUGAUUGGCGUGCUAGCACUUGCUUCUGGAUUAUACCAGCGUAGGGAAGUGGACGGAUGUAAAA